CACUACUUUUAAAUUUACUUAUUUCCUGGACCUCCUCAUACCUCCCUCUUUUGUAUUCCAAUUCAGUUUGUUUGUCCAGCAAUUCCUUUCCCUCCUUUUUAAUCCCAAUCCUUAAUCUUAAUAUAAUAUAACAUUAAAUUUUUACCUAUUAAAAGCCAAUUUUCCAUUCUUUUAACCUUUUUAAUCCUAAUCCUUAAUCUUGAUCUAUAUAUAACUUUAAAGCCUGUACAGCUAGAAGCCACUUAAUUUCAAUCCAUCAUCACUCUAACAUUCUUUAAUUUUGCAAUAUUUCUGUAAAUAAUCUUUAAAUUUCUUCCAAUCUUCUUCCACCGACUCUUCUCCCUGGUCACGGAUUCUGCCAGUCAUUUCCGCCAAUUCCAUAUAGUCCAUCAAUUUCAUCUGCCAUUCUUCCAGUGUGGGUAGCUCUUGUGUCUUCCAAUACUUUGCGAUGAGUAUUCUUGCUGCUGUUGUUGCAUACAUAAAGAAAGUUCUAUCCUUUUUUUAACACCGAUUGGCCGACUAUGCCCAGGAGAAGGCCUCUGGUUUCUUCAAGAAGGUAUAUUUAAAUACCUUUUUUAAUUCAUUAUAUAUCAUCUCCCAGAAAGCCUUAAUCUUUGGGCACGUCCACCAAAGGUGAAAAAAUGUACCUUCAGUUUCUUUACAUUUCCAACAUUUAUUAUCAGGCAAAUGGUAGAUUUUUGCAAGCUUGACUGGGGUUAUGUACCACCUGUAUAUCAUUUUCAUAAUAUUUUCUCUUAAGGCAUUACAUGCCGUAAAUUUCAUACCUGUGGUCCACAACUGUUCCCAGUCAGCAAACAUAAUGUUAUGUCCAACAUCUUGUGCCCAUUUAAUCAUAGCAGAUUUCACCGUUUCAUCCUGAGUGUUCCAUUUCAGCAGCAAGUUAUACAUUCUUGACAAAUUCUUAGUUUUGGGUUCUAACAGUUCUGUUUCUAAUUUUGAUUUUUCCACCUGGAAGCCAAUUUUCUUGUCCAAAUUGUAUGCCUCCAUUAUCUGAUAAUAAUGAAGCCAGUCUCGCACUUUGUUUUUUAAUUUUU
rnacentral:lncRNA from 1 species